AGCAGCCGCGGUAAUUCCAGCUCCAAUAGCGUAUAUUAAAGUUGUUGCAGUUAAAAAGCUCGUAGUUGAAUUUCGGGGUCAGUUAGUUGGUCGUGCCACUGGUAUGUACUGGCUUUACUGAUUCCUCCUUCUUGAAGAACUGUAAUGUCAUUAAUUUGGUGUUGCAGGGAAACAGGACUGUUACUUUGAAAAAAUUAGAGUGUUUAAAGCAGGCUAACGCUUGAAUACAUUAGCAUGGAAUAAUGAAAUAGGACGUUUGACCUAUUUUGUUGGUUUCUAGGAUCGACGUAAUGAUUAAUAGGGAUAGUUGGGGGCAUUAGUAUUCAAUUGUCAGAGGUGAAAUCCUUGGAUUUAUUGAAGACUGACUACUGCGAAAGCAUUUGCCAAGGAUGUUUUCAUUAAUCAAGAACGAAGUUAGGGAUCGAAGACGAUCAG
rnacentral:rRNA from 1 species